UACGUAGGGGGCGAGCGUUGUCCGGAUUUAUUGGGCGUAAAGAGCUCGUAGGCGGUUUGGUAAGUUGGAUGUGAAAUCUCCAGGCUCAACUUGGAGGGGUCAUUCGAUACUGUCAUGACUAGAGUUCGGUAGGGGAGUGUGGAAUUCCUGGUGGAGCGGUGAAGUGCGCAGAUAUCAGGAGGAACACCCGUAGCGAAGGCGGCACUCUGGGCCGGAACUGACGCUGAGGAGCGAAAGCGUGGGGAGCGAACAGG
rnacentral:rRNA from 1 species